rnacentral:tRNA from 1 species
GAGGGAAUAACUCAGUGGUAGAGUGCGUGCUUAGCAUGCACGAGGUCCUGGGUUCACGCCCCAGGACCUCCA